UCGCUGAGAGGAGGUGCAUGGCCGUCGUCAGUUCGUACUGUGAAGCAUCCUGUUAAGUCAGGCAACGAGCGAGACCCGUGCCCACUGUUGCCAGCAUGUCCUUCGGGAUGAUGGGUACUCUGUGGGGACCGCCGAUGCUAAAUCGGGAGGAAGGUGCGGGCUACGGUAGGUCAGUAUGCCCCGAAUCUCCCGGGCUACACGCGAGCUACAAUGGUUGGUACAAUGGGUAUCUACCCCGAAAGGGGACGGGAAUCUCCUAAAACCAAUCUUAGUUCGGAUUGAGGGCUGCAACUCGCCCUCAUGAAGCUGGAAUCCGUAGUAAUCGCGUUUCAACAGAACGCGGUGAAUACGUCCCUGCUCCUU
rnacentral:rRNA from 1 species